rnacentral:lncRNA from 1 species
AUUGUUUUUUGGAUUAUUUGACGUUCAUUUGGGGGGUGGGGUAGAAAAAAUUCGUCUACACCCCGAAUAAGGACCACCCUACUGUGCCCGGCAUAGCGGGGGAGGGUAAUUUCCGAACAAAACCAACUGAUAUUGCCACCCUGAUUACAGAUUUCGUACUUUUUCAUGUAUCGCUGAAUUUAAUCGUGUCAAGAAAGGAUGUGCAACGUAGUAUGCAUGGGGCGUGGUUUAAAAAUCAAUAUCACAUGCAAGAUUGAUUGGAACUGGCCGAUCGUGAAGAGACCUGGAUUGGAAACAUCUCGUCUACCUAUGGAUCCGACGCUGUAUCCAAUACCAAUACGCACAGGUACGAGGUACGAGAGUGAUAUGAGACACCGAAAAUACAUAUAGCUUGGCAAAUUUGACACUGACAGUGCGAAAGUUGCUGGGCACCGGUAGUGGCAUAAGAAUUGGGGGCGCUGGCCUUCUCACUGGGUCCGGGCGGCAUAAUCCGUAUAAGGGACGCUAUCGCCGGUCACCUUAUACCUAGAUAGGUACAACAGUGUCACGGUACAACCAAGUAGUCAGAACAUCAUACCGAGAUGUACGACUACUUCAAGUUUCGAAUGUCUCAGCGAGUCUGCGGCAAAGCAUGUAGGCUAUCCUUAGGCCCACGUAGCUAUUACCCGUGUUACAAUGUAACGGGCAUUCGUUCUCAGUCAUGCUCUGCUUCUCGUGCGCCACGGAGGUAUGGGUAGGUAAGAAGUAAGAACCAAGAACCCACGGUAUCCCGUGGUUUUGCCGGAGUGACGGACACGUUUUAUACAACGAAUGGAUUUGCGCAUGUACCAACUUCGCGACAACGAACCCUGGUGAACCCGUUCUUAAUUCUUCAUUACACAUCAGCGCUUCACUUACAAUUAAACGACCAGGCAUAAUUCCUGUAAAAUUUUACCGAGUUGGACAAUGAUGUCAGGAGACGAGCCACCGCAACAGCCCUCGAGUUUGGAGUCAUUCCCCAUGUCGCCAAUUUUUUAUUAAUAUCAAUGAAAAAAUUCUAAAAUGUUCUUGAAAUUAUAAAUAAUAAAGCCCUCAAACUCAAUUUGCUCUAAGUGUUUUCAUUUUCUUGAAAAAAAAAAAAAAAACACCUAAAAAUAGGUAUAAUUUUAGACCUUCCAAGUUAUCCCCCCUCCAACUGAAGAUCAAAACAAGUUGCGGUCAUGAUAAUAGCCAGAAAAUAGGGAAAAUUGAGUUUUUCUUUUUGUUUUUUCAAAAUACUCACGAG